UCAAAUAGAGAAAGUGCAAGUUCUCAGCCGUGGAAUCAUACUCCUUCAAAAGUUGUAAAUGGCGAAGAACAAGCAAGGUGUUUUGAGGCAUAUAAGAAAGUUUUUGAAAAUGAAGACUGGAUAAAUGGUUUUUCUGUGUUUUGUGUAGGUAAAAUAGAUGACGAAAAAAAUUUUUACCCAUCAAAAGAGAGUAUAAAAGUUAUUAAGUCUUGGUAUGAAUAAUUUUGAAAGUGUAGAAUUUAUAUAGAUUAAAUAGAUGAUUAGGAGAGAUAUAAAUGAAUGACAUCAAGGUUAUGACUGUAUUUGGAACUAGACCUGAAGCUAUCAAAGUAGCACCUUUAAUAAAGGAACUUGAAAAAAGAGAGAAUAUAAAAAGUAUUGUUUGCGUUACAGCUCAACAUAGAGAAAUGCUUGACCAAGUUAUAGAAACCUUUAAUAUAAAUGUAGACUAUGAUUUGGAUAUAAUGGAAAAAGGACAAAGCCUGAAUGAUAUAACAUGUAAGAUUUUAAAUAAACUUCCCUUGAUUUUAAACAAGGAAAAUCCAAAUAUAAUAUUGGUACAUGGAGAUACAACCACAACUCUAGCUACAAGUUUGACUGCAUUUUAUAAUAAAACUCUUGUUGGUCAUAUAGAAGCUGGGCUUAGAACCUAUGAUAAAUAUUCUCCUUUUCCAGAGGAGUUAAAUAGACAACUUACAGGUAUUAUUGCUGAUAUGCACUUUGCUCCUACUAAUUUGGCUAGAAAAAACUUGAUUUCUGAAGGAAAACCUAAUAAUAAUAUAUUUGUAACUGGUAAUACUGCUAUUGAUGCUUUAAAGAUGACAAUAAAAGAAAACUAUAAUCAUCCUAUAAUUGAUGAGAUUGGUAACGAUAGGAUGAUUUUGUUAACCUCUCACAGAAGAGAAAAUUUGGGUAAACCUAUGAAAAAUAUAUUCAGAGCUAUAAAGCGAAUAGUAGAUGACUUUGAAGAUGUACAGAUAGUAUAUCCCAUACAUUUAAAUCCUAAAAUACGAACUAUAGCUGAUGAGAUAUUUGGAAAAUUUCCUGAAAAAAUUCAUAUUAUAGAGCCUUUAGAUGUAGCUGAUUUUCAUAACUUUUUAAAUAAAUCUUAUAUGAUAAUGACUGAUAGUGGAGGAAUACAGGAAGAAGCUCCAUCAUUAGGUAAGCCAGUUCUUGUGUUGCGUGAUAAAACAGAAAGAACAGAAGGAAUUGAAGCAAAGACACUUAAAUUAGUAGGUACUAAUGAAGAUAGAAUAUAUAAUUCAGUGAGCGAUUUAUUAAUAAAUAAAGAUAACUAUGUUCAGAUGAGUAAAGCAUCUAAUCCAUAUGGAGAUGGAAAUGCAAGCAAAUAUAUAGUGGAUAUAAUAAUUAAAAAAUUUAAUUGCAAAUAUUUAAAUUAGAUAAGGGCUAAAACAUUAACUAAUUGAUAUAAGAUUUAUGAUAAUAUUAAGGAAUACAAUUUUUAAGGGGGAGUAAUAUGGCUAGAAAAUUAAUAAAAAAUUUGGGUAAAAGUAAAAGUGUAAAGAGAGUGAAACUUUUAUUUAAGAAGAUUUUUAUUACUGUAUUCAUAGUAGCAAGUAUAGUUGCUAUUUUUAAUAUAACGAAAUAUUUUGAGGAAUUAUACAAAGUAAGGGAUUUAAAAAGUACUAAAAUUGAAUACUAUAUGGAUGUGGCUGAUGAAGCAGGAGAUGGAAAGGUCCAAUUAAGUUGGAAGGCCUUACUUGCUAUAGACAUGGUAAUACAUGAUGAAGAUUUAAGUAAUAUAAAAAAGAAAGACACAUUGGAUAUAGGGGAAAAGUUUAUAGUAGAAGAUAAAAAUGAUAAAGGCGAAAAGGUGUAUAAGGCAAAAAAGUUUAAUAAGGUAUUAAGCGAAUUGAAAUUUGACUCUUCUCAAAAAAGUAGAGCAAGAAAAUACAUGAAAGAUUUAGAAUACACAUACCUUGGAAAUAAACAAUUAGAUAGUAGUGAUGAAAAAAUUAAAUUUAUAAAGAAGUUAGAAGACUCAGCUAUAAGAGAAUAUAUUGAUUAUGGAAUAUUGCCCUCUAUAACAAUUGGACAAGCUAUAUUAGAAUCUGGUUGGGGAAAUUCUAAACUUACAAAACAGAGUAAUAAUUUAUUUGGUAUAAAAGCAGAUAAAGCAUGGAAAGGAAAAAGUGUAGAAAUUUCAACUUCAGAGCAUUAUAAUGAAAAAAUUGUAGCUAGUUUUAGGUCGUAUAAUUCAUUACAAGAUUCUGUCAAAGACCACAGUUUAUUUUUAAUUAAUAAUAAAAGAUAUAGAAAACAUGGGUUGUUUGAGGCAAAAGAUUAUAUUAGUCAAGCUCAAUCAUUAGAAAAUGCAGGAUAUAGUACAGCAGAAGAUAAAAAAGGAAAUCGUAUAUAUGCAGAGCUAUUAAUAGAUGUUAUUAGGAGUUAUAAUUUGCAAUUGAUAGAUAAUAAAGUUGAGACAAAAUAAUUGUUAACUUUAUAUGAGGAGAAAACAAGAUAAGAUUCUUUUCUACAAAAAGAAUAGAAAAAUUGUAAAAAAAACUAAAAAAAUGUAUUGACUUGUUAUUUAAAAUGUGAUAUUAUUAUUACUGUACUCGAAAGAGAACAAAAUGAACUUUGAAAAUUAAACAGUAGGUUAAUUUAUAAACAAGAAACAAACCAUAAAGCCAGAUAUUUUGAUAACAAUAGUAUCUGAGCCUGAUAAACUUUUAUUUGAGAGUUUGAUCCUGGCUCAGGAUGAACGCUGGCGGCGUGCCUAACACAUGCAAGUUGAGCGAUUUACUUCGGUAAAGAGCGGCGGACGGGUGAGUAACGCGUGGGUAACCUACCCUGUACACACGGAUAACAUACCGAAAGGUAUGCUAAUACGGGAUAAUAUAUUUGAGAGGCAUCUCUUGAAUAUCAAAGGUGAGCCAGUACAGGAUGGACCCGCGUCUGAUUAGCUAGUUGGUAAGGUAACGGCUUACCAAGGCGACGAUCAGUAGCCG
rnacentral:rRNA from 1 species